GCGUGCGGGGGACGCUGGGGACAGGAAGACACUGUCUGUACCCACCGCACAGCUGUGACCGCGAAGUAGGGGUUCCCUCUCGGAAGCGUCUGUGUCGGGAUGUGUACCUGGCGCGUGCGCCUCAAAUGCGGUUGAGAAUCUGAAGCCCUGGGGACUUAGGGCCGCAGUUGGGAAACAGAUCCAAGCUGGUGGAAUCAUGUGAUGCAUCCGAUUUGAUCCCCUCCUGGCAGGUCAGCCUAGCACGAUUCCAGCAUCGUGGGAGAGAGUGGCUCCGGCUGCUCUUCCGGAUUCCUGCUUCCGCCCGUCACGCUUCCCUCCCCACCACAUCCCUUCCACCACCGGACCCCAAUGUCCCAGCACUGGGAGUCUGCAUUUCUUUUGUUACCUUCACAGUGUUGACACAACACGCUUACUUUAUUUCCAUCAUUUUCUGACAAAGGGAAGCAUAGGGGACACAGUCUGGGUCCUGCUCGCCAUCUGCCUCCCCUGUAAUGGCGCUUGCAGUGCUGUGUGUAGCUGAGCGCGAUGAGCAGAAUUCUGGGCUUUUUACAGAUGAAGGCAGACAGCAAGAGGGGCUGAUAUUUAUUCAAACUCCAUCCAUACAAUAAAGAACUCUGAUUUUUUAAAUUUCAUUUA